GACGUAGGGCGCGAGCGUUGUCCGGAUUUAUUGGGCGUAAAGAGCUCGUAGGCGGUUCGGUAAGUCAGGUGUGAAAUCUCCACGCUCAACGUGGAGGCGCCACCUGAAACUGCCGUGACUCGAGUCCGGUAGGGGAGUGUGGAAUUCCUGGUGUAGCGGUGAAAUGCGCAGAUAUCAGGAGGAACACCAAUGGCGAAGGCAGCUCGCUGGGACGUGACUGACGCUGAGACGCGAAAGCGUGGGGGAGCAAACAGG
rnacentral:rRNA from 1 species